rnacentral:lncRNA from 1 species
CUUAGUUUCCAGAAUGACACUCCUGAAUUUUUAAUCAAAAACCAUUUCAUGUCUUUGAAACACAAGAGUGAAAUUUAUAUGGUUAGUAUGUAACUGGAAUCAUAAUGCUUGAAGAGAAGCCACCUCCUGAAGCUACUUAGGUGAAUUUCUAGGCUUUCAUAAAAAUGGAAAAAAACCCUCAGAAAGCGUACACUGCCACAUUUUCCCACCCAGGUCGGCAUAAAUAGAGACAGAGAGAACUAGAGAGCCAGCAAGAGACAACAGAGUCCUGACGUCUUUUCAGGGAAAGUUGAGGAGACGAGUGAGGUAAUGCGCGUUAAAAUGAAAGGAAACACCUUAGCUGCACCCUUUCCUGGGGGCAGGGUGUCACCGAACACGUCAUUUUCCCAGAAUCCUUCGUGAUUUAGUAAUAGAAGUGUCCUUUGACAUAUAGGAAAAUAUAAUUUCCGAAGAGUGAAGCGACUUCGUGGAAACACAGGAUCCCAUCCAGGAGGCCAUUUAGUCAUCAUGUCUCCUCAGGAGCCUCCAGACUGUGGCAGUUUCUCAGACUUCCCUUGUUUUUGGUGACCUUGACAGUUUGGAGCAACUCUGGUUAAAUAUUUUGUAGACUGUCCCUCAAUUUGUACUCAUGUGAUCUUUUUCCUCAUGACUAGACAGAGGUUAUGAAUUUGGAGAAGAAGAACACAGAGGUAGAGUACCAUUUUCAUCACAUAUCGAGGUGACAUGCUAUCGACAUGGCUUACUACUGAUGAUGCUAAGCUUGGUCACUUGGCUGAGGUCGUGGUUCUUAAGGUUUCUCUGCUGUAAGCUUACUCUUUUCGUCUCUUUCCCUACUGUACUUUUUGGAAGGAAGUCACUAUGAGUAGCCCAUAUUUAAUUAAGGAGUAGAAGUUAUCGCCACGUCCUUGAAGGGGCAGUAUAUAUACAAACCAUUUGGCAUUCUUCGGCAUGGAUUAGUUAUUUAUUCAGUUGUUU